GACGGAGGAGACACAAGGAAAUCCCCUAGUACUGCGAAGUGAAGCGGGAACAGCUCAAAUUUAAAAUCUGGCGUCUCUCUGCGCCGAUCCGAAUUUUGAUCUAGGAUAAUUAUUGCCGCGCGCGUCGACCGAGUACCAGUCUCCUGGAAUGGAUCGUCAGAUGAAGAUGACAAUCCCGUCUCUGACACGGACUACCAAGGCUUUGUGGUAUGCUCUCAAAAAGUCGAGUUGGUUGGGAAUGCAGCUCAGAAUGGGUGGUAAAUUCCAUCUAAAGCUAAAUAUUGCCAAGAGACCGAUAUCGAACGAUUACCGUGAGGGAAAGAUGAAAAGAACUUUGUUAAAGAGAGUUAAACAAUACGUGAAAUUGCUGAAAGGGAAACGCUUGUAGGUCAUUCGCGUUGGCCAGGGAUCACCCUCGCUCUUGCUUGGUGUACUUCCUGGUUGACGGGUCUCCAUCGAUUCUGACCGCUGGAAAAAGGCCUGGGGAAUGUGGCAGCUUCAGCUGUGUUAUAGCCCCUGGUCGCAUACGGACUGUUGGGUAUUGAGGUAACUCAGGACGCCGCAAGGCCGGGUUUCAACCACGUUCGUGCUUACGAUGCUGGCAUAAUGGCUUUAAGCAGACCCGUCUUGAAACACGGAACCAAGGUAGUCUAACAUGCCUGCGAAGUGUUUGGGUGGAAAACCCGACGCGUAAUGAAAGCUGGAAGUUGAGAUCACUGAUCGUGAGUAAGCAUCAUACGCCCGGACCACAACUUUUGGGACGGAUCCGCGCUGAGAACAUGUGAUGUUGGGAACCCAACUCUAUGGUGAAGCUAUGCACUGAAUACGGAUGAAGCCCAUAGGAUAACUCUGGCUGGAGGCCUCGUAGUCGAUUACAGACGUGCAAAAUCGAAUCGUCAAAUUUUGUGCUAUAGGAGGCGAAACCACUAAUACGAAACCUGCUAGAUAUCUGGUUUCCUGACGUAAGUUUCCCAUCAUGAAUAGCAGUACACUGCAUAUUAUGAUAUACUGUGGUCAAAGUCGAAUGAUUUAUAAGUCCUUUGGGGGGUGGAGGCGGGCGUUAAACCUGAUUCUCAAAACUUUAAAAAAUGGGAUGGAACCUAUGCCGUCACCCUGUUUUGGAUCGCUCCUACCAUUUCUUAGUAUUCUUAAGAUGGG
rnacentral:rRNA from 1 species